GAUGAAGAACGCAGCGAAAUGCGAUAAGUAAUGUGAAUUGCAGAAUUCAGUGAAUCAUCGAAUCUUUGAACGCACAUUGCGCCCUUUGGUAUUCCGAAGGGCAUGCCUGUUCGAGCGUCAUUUCACCACUCAAGCCUGGCUUGGUAUUGGGCGCCGCGGUCGAUCCGCGCGCCUCAAAGUCUCCGGCUGAGCUGUCCGUCUCUAAGCGUUGUGAUUUCAUUAAUCGCUUCGGAGUGCGGGCGGCCGCGGCCGUUAAAUCUUUCACAAGGUUGACCUCGGAUCAGGUAGGGAUACCCGCUGAACUUAAGCAUAUCAACGGAGA
rnacentral:misc_RNA from 1 species